GGGCCUUCGUAUCUCUCGUCUUCCCCCAAAACCGAAACCCUAAGCGAGCCUCUCCUCUCCCUUUUCUUCUUCCAAAUUCUUCCCAAGAAAAAAAAAACUCUAGCUUUUCGGUGCCCCUAUCUUCUCAAUUCUCGCGGAGAUCCAGGGUUUUCUGCCCUAAAUCGUUAAAGAUUCGACGAUCCAAGGCGGAAGAGGAGCCUAUCUCAAGCAGAGGGUUUUCUGCCCUAAAUCGUCAAAGAUUCGACGAUCCAUGGUGAGAGAGGAGCUGAUCUCAAGCGAUUUCAAGGUAAAUUCUCCCAUCCUCAAGUUCCCAUCGCUGGAUCCAUGGUGGGGAAGUACUUCGAAGAAAAUCAAAGUUGGGAAAGUUUGUUCAGUGUAAGCAUUUAUUGAGGUUGUAUAUGUUCACUUAUUGGCACUCCUUUGAGUUUGUACCAAGGGGCUUCCUCAACUCUUCCCUAUAGCCUCGGGUUAGAACCGGAUUGACUCUAAUUUAAUAUUGAGGACAAAAUAUGCACAAGCUCAAUUCUGUGGACUGUGACUUUUACCUGAAAUUCAUCAUACUGCAGAGUUUGGAGUCUCUGAUUCAAUACUGAUUGUGAAAAGAGGACGGAUGAAUCGAGAACCUAACCUCAUACGGAUGCACUUAGUGUGAAAGCUACUGCAACAUCUCAUCAGAUCCCAAGUCGAUAGGCAAAUGCGAACUCCAGCUUCCCCCAGUGGUGCAUCAUUGAGUAAAGAAAGACCAGCAGAGAAGCAAAUACUUUCAGGUUUGAGCUUAUUAUUCUGAUGGUAAGAGUAGGAGAUGGUGUAGUUCCAGCAAGAGCACUGCUGGUGUUAAUUACACUGGGAUUGACAAUCCUUUAAGAAAGAUAGAAAAUAUAACCAACAUAUCAAAAUGAAUGGACUCUAGAAUCAAUGAGCAUCAGUUUAGAAUCUCAGUGAGGCAGCAGAGUUAAUUUAAUUCAAGUAUGGAAGUCCGAAUAAUAAGGGGAACUCUUGCAAGAUUAUUGGCUUGGUAUUUGAUAGCAAAAUCCUAUAGAAAGGGGGCCCAAAGUCAAAUUUGAAGGUUGUGAUUCAAUGGAAUUGUAGGUUUUCAGUUUG